GACGAACGCUGGCGGCGUGCCUAAUACAUGCAAGUCGAGCGAAGUUUUUCUGGUGCUUGCACUAGAAAAACUUAGCGGCGAACGGGUGAGUAACACGUAAAGAACCUGCCUCAUAGACUGGGACAACUAUUGGAAACGAUAGCUAAUACCGGAUAACAGCAUUAACUGCAUGGUUGAUGUUUAAAAGUUGGUUUUGCUAACACUAUGAGAUGGCUUUGCGGUGCAUUAGCUAGUUGGUGGGGUAAAGGCCUACCAAGGCGACGAUGCAUAGCCGACCUGAGAGGGUGAUCGGCCACACUGGGACUGAGACACGGCCCAGACUCCUACGGGAGGCAGCAGUAGGGAAUCUUCCGCAAUGGGCGAAAGCCUGACGGAGCAACGCCGCGUGAGUGAAGAAGGAUUUCGGUUCGUAAAGCUCUGUUGUUAGGGAAGAAUGAUUGUGUAGUAACUAUACACAGUAGAGACGGUACCUAACCAGAAAGCCACGGCUAACUACGUGCCAGCAGCCGCGGUAAUACGUAGGUGGCAAGCGUUGUCCGGAAUUAUUGGGCGUAAAGCGCGCGCAGGUGGUUUAAUAAGUCUGAUGUGAAAGCCCACGGCUCAACCGUGGAGGGUCAUUGGAAACUGUUAAACUUGAGUGCAGGAGAGAAAAAGGGAAUUCCCUAGUGUAGCGGUGAAAAUGCGUAGAGAUUAUGGAGGAACACCCGUGGCGAAAGGCGGCUUUUUUGCCUGUACCGGAACUGAGGCGGGAAGCGUUGGGGACAUACAGGAUUAAAUACCCUAUAGUUCGAGGCAAAUUCCCCAUCGCAUAUUAGCUUUUCGAUACGUGCGCCCGGGGGGG
rnacentral:rRNA from 1 species